rnacentral:rRNA from 1 species
UACAGAGGUCCCAAGCGUUGUUCGGAUUCACUGGGCGUAAAGGGUGCGUAGGUGGCAGGGUAAGUUUGAUGUGAAAUCUCCGAGCUUAGCUCGGAAACUGCAUUGAAUACUAUCCUGCUCGAGGGUUGGAAGGGGGACUGGAAUUCUCGGUGUAGCAGUGAAAUGCGUAGAUAUCGAGAGGAACACCAGUGGCGAAGGCGAGUCCCUGGACAACACCUGACACUGAGGCACGAAAGCUAGGGGAGCAAACAGG